rnacentral:tRNA from 1 species
GCGCCUGUAGCUCAGGUGGAUAGAGCAGCGGUUUCCUAAACCGCGGGCCGCGGGUUCGAGUCCUGCCAGGCGCACCA